rnacentral:rRNA from 1 species
GGCUGCAUGAGGACCAAACUGUCUCCUUUGACCAAUCAAUGAACCUGAUCUCUCAGUACAAAAGCUGAAAUAGAACCAUAAGACAAGAAGACCCCGUGGAGCUUUAAAUACCAAUACUAACCGCCAUCCCCCCAUUAGGCCCACACCGCCAAAAUAGUAUAUAUUUUUAGUUGGGGCGACUACGGAACCAAACAAAACUUCCACGACACAGGACCACCCACCCCCCCCCCGGUCAACAAACCUAUCCCCCGUUUGACCCAGCAAUACUGACCAACGAACCAAGUUACCCCGGGGAUAACAGCGCCAUCCUCUUCAAGAGCCCCUAUCGCCAAGAGGGUUUACGACCUCGAUGUUGGAUCAGGACACCCCGGUGGUGCAACCGCUACCAACGGUUCGUUUGUUCAA